GGGACACGUGGUAUCCUGUCUGAAUAUGGGGGGACCAUCCUCCAAGGCUAAAUACUCCUGACUGACCGAUAGUGAACCAGUACCGUGAGGGAAAGGCGAAAAGAACCCCGGCGAGGGGAGUGAAAAAGAACCUGAAACCGUGUACGUACAAGCAGUGGGAGCACCUUCGGGUGUGACUGCGUACCUUUUGUAUAAUGGGUCAGCGACUUAUAUUCUGUAGCAAGGUUAACCGUAUAGGGGAGCCGCAGGGAAACCGAGUCUUAACUGGGCGUUAAGUUGCAGGGUAUAGACCCGAAACCCGGUGAUCUAGCCAUGGGCAGGUUGAAGGUUGGGUAACACUAACUGGAGGACCGAACCGACUAAUGUUGAAAAAUUAGCGGAUGACUUGUGGCUGGGGGUGAAAGGCCAAUCAAACCGGGAGAUAGCUGGUUCUCCCCGAAAGCUAUUUAGGUAGCGCCUCGUGAACUCAUCUUCGGGGGUAGAGCACUGUUUCGGCUAGGGGGUCAUCCCGACUUACCAACCCGAUGCAAACUACGAAUACCGAAGAAUGUUAUCACGGGAGACACACGGCGGGUGCUAACGUCCGUCGUGAAGAGGGAAACAACCCAGACCGCCAGCUAAGGUCCCAAAGUCAUGGUUAAGUGGGAAACGAUGUGGGAAGGCACAGACAGCCAGGAUGUUGGCUUAGAAGCAGCCAUCAUUUAAAGAAAGCGUAAUAGCUCACUGGUCGAGUCGGCCUGCGCGGAAGAUGUAACGGGGCUAAACCAUGCACCGAAGCUGCGGCAGCGACACUAUGUGUUGUUGGGUAGGGGAGCGUUCUGUAAGCCUGCGAAGGUGUGCUGUGAGGCAUGCUGGAGGUAUCAGAAGUGCGAAUGC
rnacentral:rRNA from 1 species